GAAAUGCGAUAAGUAAUGUGAAUUGCAGAAUUCAAUGAAUCAUCGAAUCUUUGAACGCACAUUGCGCCCGCCAGUAUUCUGGCGGGCAUGCCUGUUCGAGCGUCAUUUCAACCAUCAAGCCCCGGGCUUGUGUUGGGGACCUGCGGCUGCCGCAGGCCCUGAAAAGCAGUGGCGGGCUCGCUGUCACACCGAGCGUAGUAGCAUACAUCUCGCUCUGGGCGUGCUGCGGGUUCCGGCCUUUAAACCACCUUCGUAACCCAAGGUUGACCUCGGAUCAGGUAGGAAGACCCGCUGAACUUAAGC
rnacentral:misc_RNA from 1 species